GAUGAACGCUGGCGGCGUGCCUAACACAUGCAAGUCGAGCGAUCUUCUUCGGAAGAGAGCGGCGGACGGGUGAGUAACGCGUGGGUAACCUGCCCUGUACACACGGAUAACAUACCGAAAGGUAUGCUAAUACGGGAUAACAUAAGAAAGUCGCAUGGCUUUCUUAUCAAAGCUUUUGCGGUACAGGAUGGACCCGCGUCUGAUUAGCUAGUUGGUAAGGUAACGGCUUACCAAGGCGACGAUCAGUAGCCGACCUGAGAGGGUGAUCGGCCACAUUGGAACUGAGACACGGUCCAAACUCCUACGGGAGGCAGCAGUGGGGAAUAUUGCACAAUGGGCGAAAGCCUGAUGCAGCAACGCCGCGUGAGCGAUGAAGGCCUUCGGGUCGUAAAGCUCUGUCCUCAAGGAAGAUAAUGACGGUACUUGAGGAGGAAGCCCCGGCUAACUACGUGCCAGCAGCCGCGGUAAUACGUAGGGGGCUAGCGUUAUCCGGAAUUACUGGGCGUAAAGGGUGCGUAGGCGGUCUUUCAAGUCAGAAGUGAAAGGCUACGGCUCAACCGUAGUAAGCUUUUGAAACUGUAAGACUUGAGUGCAGGAGAGGAGAGUGGAAUUCCUAGUGUAGCGGUGAAAUGCGUAGAUAUUAGGAGGAACACCAGUUGCGAAGGCGGCUCUCUGGACUGUAACUGACGCUGAGGCACGAAAGCGUGGGGAGCAAACAGG
rnacentral:rRNA from 1 species